CACUUCUCCCCGUUCGUCCUUCCUCUCUCAUCAUCGAAGAAAAGUUCGAAUCCCGCUCCAGCUCUCAUUUGUUCUUCUCGAGAUGGUGAUAUCGAGGAAAGCGUCGGCGUAUUGGAACCCUACUGUGUCUAUCUAAUUAAUGGGGCAUAGAGCAAGGAAAAUGAGUGUAUCUCAGAUUUCAGUCGAGUUAAACAAGAUGAAUAGAAGAGCAAAUGUAGACAAGAGGCCAGAACAACCAAAAAGUUGAGACCUGGGGGCACGACCAAGAGCUAGGUUCAGUGGUUCGGGAGGCCUUGAGCUUUGAAGGAGAUGAAUGAAAAAGUAAAAGGGGUUUUAGUAAAAAAAAAUGGAUAUUUGUUUAAAAAAAUCAUUCCAAACGCUAAAUAUUUCAUGGAUGCCUUGAAGUAUGACUUGAGGCUCGCCUCACAUGAGAAAUCAUGAAGGGUCAGUUGUAGGGCAGAAAUUCUUCAAAGAUCAAUUAAGUUUUCCAGUCCAAGUGAACAAUGAGCAUAGCUCUGAUUUGGUUGUAGAGAUAUUCGGCAUCUUGGCUGAAGGUAGUAGGCCUAUUAAGAGUUCAACUUUGGGCUUACAAAUGCUCCCCUAAGCCUCACUUCGCUGUGUAUAUAAACGUCCAAGCCAAAAAAUACAAAUUUGUUUAAUGUCACGGUUCAGAGUCCAA